AGAGUUUGAUCCUGGCUCAGGACGAACGCUGGCGGCGUGCUUAACACAUGCAAGUCGAGCGACGCACCACCUUCGGGUGGUGACGGAGCGGCGAACGGGUGAGCAACACGUGGGCAACCUGCCCCUAGCUCUGGGACAACUCCGGGAAACCGGGGCUAAUACCGGAUACGAUCUUCCAUGGCAUCACGGAGGAUGGAAAGUUUUUCGGCUAGGGAUGGGCCCGCGGCCUAUCAGCUUGUUGGUGAGGUAAUGGCCCACCAAGGCGACGACGGGUAGCCGGCCUGAGAGGGCGACCGGCCACACUGGGACUGAGACACGGCCCAGACUCCUACGGGAGGCAGCAGUGGGGAAUAUUGCGCAAUGGGCGAAAGCCUGACGCAGCGACGCCGCGUGAGGGAUGAAGGCCUUCGGGUUGUAAACCUCUUUCAGCAGGGACGAAGCGAAAGUGACGGUACCUGCAGAAGAAGCACCGGCCAACUACGUGCCAGCAGCCGCGGUAAUACGUAGGGUGCAAGCGUUGUCCGGAAUUAUUGGGCGUAAAGAGCUCGUAGGCGGUCUGUCACGUCGGCUGUGAAAACUCGGGGCUCAACCCCGAGCCUGCAGUCGAUACGGGCAGACUAGAGUGCUGUAGGGGAGACUGGAAUUCCUGGUGUAGCGGUGAAAUGCGCAGAUAUCAGGAGGAACACCGGUGGCGAAGGCGGGUCUCUGGGCAGUAACUGACGCUGAGGAGCGAAAGCGUGGGGAGCAAACAGGAUUAGAUACCCUGGUAGUCCACGCCGUAAACGGUGGGUGCUAGGUGUAGGUCGUAUUCCACGCGAUCUGUGCCGCAGCUAACGCAU
rnacentral:rRNA from 1 species